rnacentral:rRNA from 1 species
GACAGAGGGUGCAAACGUUGUUCGGAAUUACUGGGCGUAAAGCGCGUGUAGGCGGCUCGGAAAGUCGGAUGUGAAAGCCCUGGGCUCAACCUAGGAAGUGCAUUCGAAACUUCCGAGCUGGAGUGCUGGAGAGGAAGGCGGAAUUCUCGGUGUAGAGGUGAAAUUCGUAGAUAUCGAGAGGAACACCGGUGGCGAAGGCGGCCUUCUGGACAGCCACUGACGCUGAGACGCGAAAGCGUGGGGAGCAAACAGG